ACGAACGCUGGCGGCGUGCUUAACACAUGCAAGUCGAACGGAAAGGCCCUGCUUUUGUGGGGUGCUCGAGUGGCGAACGGGUGAGUAACACGUGAGUAACCUGCCCUUGACUUUGGGAUAACUUCAGGAAACUGGGGCUAAUACCGGAUAGGAGCUCCUGCUGCAUGGUGGGGGUUGGAAAGUUUCGGCGGUUGGGGAUGGACUCGCGGCUUAUCAGCUUGUUGGUGGGGUAGUGGCUUACCAAGGCUUUGACGGGUAGCCGGCCUGAGAGGGUGACCGGCCACAUGGCGACUGAGAGACGGCCCAGACUCCUACGGGAGGCAGCGGUGGGGAAUAUUGCGCAAUGGGCGGAAGCCUGAUGCAGCAACGCCGCGUGCGGGAUGACGGCCUUCGGGUUGUAAACCGCUUUCGCCUGUGACGAAGCGUGAGUGACGGUAAUGGGUAAAGAAGCACCGGCUAACUACGUG
rnacentral:rRNA from 1 species